UCUUCGUCUGCUAGCAAGUCGGAAAGGGCAGCGGACGUGGCGUUGGCCUGCUUACUGAGCCAACACUCGAGCUGUGGGACUAUCCAGCUCCUGACCGGUGACAGCCAGAUGAUGACGAUCAGGAGCAUCAGAUGUUUCAGAGGUGUCCUCAAGGCGGCAGUCAUCCUCAGCGUCUUGUGAUAAAAGAAAGCAUAACUUGAAUGAUAAAUUUUCCUCAGUGGUCCCUC